AACGAACGCUGGCGGCAGGCUUAACACAUGCAAGUCGAACGCCCCGCAAGGGGAGUGGCAGACGGGUGAGUAACGCGUGGGAAUCUACCCAGUUCUACGGAACAACAGUUGGAAACGACUGCUAAUACCGUAUACGCCCCAAGGGGGAAAGAUUUAUCGGAAUUGGAUGAGCCCGCGUAAGAUUAGCUAGUUGGUGGGGUAAUGGCCUACCAAGGCGACGAUCUUUAGCUGGUCUGAGGGGAUGAUCAGCCACACUGGGACUGAGACACGGCCCAGACUCCUACGGGAGGCAGCAGUGGGGAAUAUUGGACAAUGGGCGAAAGCCUGAUCCAGCCAUGCCGCGUGAGUGAUGAAGGCCUUAGGGUUGUAAAGCUCUUUCAGUAGGGAAGAUAAUGACGGUACCUACAGAAGAAGCCCCGGCUAACUUCGUGCCAGCCGCCGCUGUAAGAC
rnacentral:rRNA from 1 species